GGAGUAUAAGAAACCGUUUUUUAAUUUUUAACUAAAAAAACUAAGAACCGGCUCUUAAAUAUUUUAUUUAACAACCGGUUCUUAGUUUUUUAGUUAAAAGUUAAGAGACGAUUUAUUAUAUUCU
rfam:Brassica oleracea var. oleracea cultivar TO1000 chromosome C5, whole genome shotgun sequence